ensembl:lncRNA
CAUAGGGUUGCAAAGAGUCAGCCACGACUGAAGCCACUUAGCAUGCGUGGACACAUGCAUGAACACACCUGUAGUUAUGGGGAGGCAUGAGAUGAAUCUAGAGCACAUACUGGCUGCAGAGGCAGUAUCACCAACGGGGAAGAAAGGUAGUUCUUGCAGGGAGUGAAAAAUCUUAGAUAUUACAGCGGUAAAUGGUCCUCCAGAAUGCAACCCUGUAGUAUAUUUGAGGUGUUAGAAGAGAGGGUCAGUUAGGAAAACACUGUCCAAAAGGAGCCUUGUAAUGAGAGUGAUAAGGAAAUAAAGGUCAAGAAAUUCUGAUCUGACAAAAGCGAGAGAAGCAGUGAUUGGAUACUUAUAAUCUAUCAGACAUUGUGUUAAGCAUUUUCUAUGUUUUCUAAUUCAGUUUUGCAACAACUCUGUAUGGUUUGCACCUGUGCUGUGCUUAGUCACUCAGUCGUGUCCGACUCCCUGCGACCCGUGGAUGGCAGCCCGCCAGGCUCCUCUGUCCAUGGGGAUUCGCCAGGCAAGAAUACCGGAGUGGGUUGCCAUGCCCUCCUCCAGGGGAUCCUCCCAACCCAGGGAUUGAACCCAGGUCUUCAGCAUUGCAGGUGGAUUCUUUAUAGACUGAACCAUCAGGGAAAACCCAAUUUGCACCUGAGGGAGGAGGAAACUGGGGUGGGCAGCUCCUGACGUGGCCCCCAGCGAUCCUCACCCGCUGGUGUUCACGCAUCUGUGUAACGCUUUCCCCUUUAAUGUGGGCUGGACCUCGUGACUAGCUUCUAACAGAGUACGGCAGAAGGUGUAAGAUGUCAUGCCUGUGAUUAGGCUAUAAGCAUAGAUUUCUUUAUAACCACCUAACCCUUGGACUGCAAGGAGAGCUAACCAGUGCAUCCUAAAGGAAAUCAGUCCUGAAUAUUCACUGGAAAGACUGAUGUUGAAGCUGAAACUCCAAUACUUUGGCCACCUGAUGUGAAGACCUGACUCAUUUGAAAAGACCCGGAGAUUGAAGGUGGGAGGAGAAGGGAACGACAGAGGAUGAGAUGGUUGGAUGGCAUCCCUGACUCAAUGGACAUGAGUUUGGGUAAACUCUGGGAGUUGGUGACAGACAAGGAGGCCUGGUGUGCUGCAGUCCAUGGGGUCUCAGUGGGUUGGACACGACUGAGCGACUGAACUGAACUGAGUCAUGUAACUGACACUCCUCUGUCACUUUCUCUCUCUCAGCUCUUCUCAUGUGGUUGCUCUGAUGAAGCAGGAGAGAUCCAAGUGGCAGCGAACUCAGGUGGCUCCUGCCAUCUGUCAGCAAGGAUCUGAGGCACUUACUCCAGAAGCUCCCGAGGUGCUGGAUGCUUCAAACACCAGAGGCAUGAGCUUGGAAGUGAAUCCUUUGUCAGCUGAACUUUCAGAUGAGACCGCAGGCUCGCCUGCCACUUCACAACCCGUAAGAGACUCUGAACAGAGGAGCCAGGGGAGCUAUGCCUGGAUUCCUGAUCCCUGGAAACUGCGAGACGUAAUCCUGACUAAAGGCUAAAGGGUCUGGUGUGAUGGAAGGAGCCCUGUAGUGGUCUGGACGUCUGGUCUGAGGCUGAUGCGUGUUCUAGCGCCCCCUUGGCUCAGCUUCCCUAAGUGGGACGGCAGCAGCCGGCAUCUCUAACCGUGUGGUGGUCCCUCCCGCUGCGUCUGUGUGCCUUGGGGCAAGCGGGCUCAGCAGUCUCCGCCUUUGAUGUCACCUGUAAAACAGGGCUGAUAAUCGCCCCAGCUUGUGGGACUGUUGCGAGCUUAUGGCUGGGGAUGCGCCUCCCUUCGCCAGGUGUCCGGCACGCUGUGGGCGUCGACCGAGAGCGGGGCUGCUGGAGGAGCGUCCUUAGAGGGGAAUACUGCCUUGGAGGGGGCCUCCUCGGGGACGGAGCCUGAGCCGGGACGGCAGAGCCUGUGCUUUGCUGGGGGGGCACCCCCACGACAGAGGGGCAGGAGAGAAACUGAGUCAGCCUGGGAUCUCAGCUUCGGCCUGUUCCGAGUGGUGGGCAGGUGAGAGGGGCUCUGGCGUGUGAAUUGCACAGAACUGGUCCCACCGUGAGGCAAGAGGCUAGACUCUGUGACCCUGUGUCAGCUGGCCGAUGCUCUCCGGGUGGAGGUGGGGGAGGUGGGGCUUCCCUGUGCAGGAAGGUCAUUUGCUGGGUUGGGAGGAGCUGGGAGCCAUGGGAUGCCAGUCCUCACUCAUGCACUGUAGGUCGGGCCGGGUGCGCCUGGUAAGGGGUGAGGGGCGGCAUCCACAGGAGCUUCUGCCCCUAAAAGAUGGAGACACCACGGUCCUCGCUCUUGCCAUGCAGACUCGUGGGAUCACGGCCUGUGACAGGGACUGCAGACCGAUCGACUCAUGCUUCCUGGUGGUGUUAUCCACCUGGACCCCAUGCUUCAUCUCCACUGCCCUGGCGCUGUCCGGCAGCGGCGAUGGGAAGGUGUCUGAGCCCUUUGCACGGUCUUUCCCUUUGCUGGAAAUGAAAGCAGCCAGAGACAUUGCCCCUCAGAGGCCAGAGAGAUGAGAUCCUGGGGGCUGCUUGAUGUGAGAGAAACUGCUGUAAAAAGCACAUUACCACAGCGAUGGAGAGAAGGAUGUUAGCAGGCAGUCCCCAGGGAAGCGAGGCUUCUUGGAGUCUUCCUCAUGCUAUUCAGGGGUUAGACCGGUCUUCCACAUUGCAGGGGGAUUCUUUACCUGCUGAGCCACCAGG